GGAGCGGGUCAAGGAGUGCGGACGGGGACAGGGGACACCCGUCGGUGCCGGUGCGGGGAGCGGGCACGCAGCGAUAUGAGAGGCCGGGGCACCGCGCUCCCGGUGCUGCCGAGCCGUGUCAGCGCCUGCUCUGUCCCGAGGCAGCCCCGCGUACCGGCCGAAUGUCAUUCACAGCAUGGACCGUCCCGCCCCGCUGCUUUGUGAAACGGGAGCUGUGACUGGCAGGAGUGACAGCAGGCAGCGUGUGACAGCACCGGCCUCUCCCCGUGACUGCAGCCCAGGAGUCCCUGCAGCUUGACCAUCCUGCAUCUUCUAAGUACAAACAUACCCAGUCCAGACUCAGAAUGAGCUGCAGGAACCCUCCAGGUUUGGCUGCUAGAGAUAAAGCAACUGGAUAAAUCUACUGGGAUGAUAAAGAAUUUGAGUGGUUAAUUUGAGUAAAAGUCUCUCUGCAGGUGGAAUGCCUCCUGUCCCUCAAGUGGCUCAGCAGCUUAGCCAGGAGGAAAACCAACAGCGAAAUGGACCAAAUUUGUCAAGUUUGCUUAAUUCCUUACCUGCUGCACACAGCAGGAGCCUAGCUCUGGCCCAGCAGGUACAACCAGCAGGCUGGGAUAAGACCAAUGUUCUUGUGGUCCUAGCUCCAGUUCCCUCACAACAACAGCACACAGACUGGUCUCUCUUUGAUGUGAUUAGGAUGGAAAACCAAAUUACUUGCUACAAAGCACAGAUGCUGCCAAAACUGAAGGUAACUGGAGAGCUUAUUGAAGAGAUCUGCUGCUCCCCUUCAUCACUCAGACUUGAGCCAGUUAAGCUCAAACCAAAUAAGCACUUCAGGGGCUGUAAGGAUCCAUUGCAGGAACUCUUUCUGACACUGAAACAGCAGAAGAUUGCCCUGAAGGAUGUUAUUACCAGAGAACCUGUGUGUGUUCCCAGCUGUAGCUGUUGCUGCUCUAUGUUUGUGUGGAGCAAAUCCUUCUUACACAUGGACCCCUGGAAUGAAGCCCUUGCAGUUCAGUGCCAAGGAACACAGAUGGUGCAGCAUGAUUCAGAGCCCCCAGGUUCUCAUUCAUAACCAGGCAGGCUGGGAGCCCUGAAAGCAGAGGGAGACCAGGUGCUGAUUCUGACACAGAGGAUUGCAAUGCUCAACAUCCUGGAGCUUUUCCUGAAUUUCCAUUUCCUCAUGUGAGUGGGAGUGGUGCUCACAGCUGGCAUUAUCUGGAAUUCAUAAAAAACUUCAACCAACACAAGUGAUCCUUCUGUGCUGUCCUGUCUUCCCAUACUCCUUCCACAGGUGUCAGUCACACAGAUGUGAUUACUUUUGUCUUCUAUGACACUGAUUUAGAUCUGCUGAUGGACACAAAGACUAAGGGAUGGUGUGACAAAAUUACAAGAGGCAGAGAUACCCACACAUACAGGCUUGGAAGUGGUAAUUCUAUUGAAGAAAGGCUGUUGAAAAAGAGUAUUACACAUAUGAUUCAAGAAUUGGCUGCUUGGGGGGAAUUGUUCAACAGAGUUUUUAUCUCAGGUACUGUAACAUUAGGAAUGUGAGCAAUUAUUUAAAGAUACAUUAAAAAUUAGCGUUUUAUUAGAUCUUAGAAUUUUGAAAAGGUAGUGGUUUAUUAAUUUCUUGGCUUGUUUGGGAACUAGUGAUAUGUGUUCACAGUUAAAUUCAGUAGAAAUCCUGAACUGUCAGCUCAUAUAGAAAAUCAGUAGGGGACAAUAUCUAGUAAUAAAGAUUUGCUUGUUCCAAUGAUAACGUUAUCCUUUUAUUGACGUUGUUUUAAUCAAUCAGAAACAACAAUCUGCAGCAAAAGGUGUCAAACACAUCUGUAAUCUGACUUUUCUAGACUUGAUUUUAGGAUGACUAAAAAGUUUUUGAUAUCAUGCCUUAGCUUAUUGAAUAUUUCAAAACGUUUCCGUAAGGUUUUUUGCUCUGAAUAUGGAAAAGAGGGUUCUAGAACAUCUACAGAAGAGAGAUUGUCUGAGCUAAGAAAUUAUUUAGAUAUAGAGUUGUAUGACUCAGGAAACAGCAUAGUUCUUGCUCAUUUAGAACACCUGGCUGGCUUGGUGGACCAGGUACAGGGAUUUCCCUUGUUUUAUGUAAACCUUUGAAAACAUUUGUAUUUACUUUCCUGCACAACAAUCAAAUUGCUUCUGUAAAGUACCUUGUUUUCAAUCCAUUUACAUCAGACAGUUCUGUGCAAAUUUAAAUACUGAAACACUCAAAUUACUCAGGGUAAUCGGAGCCUGUUGAUAGAUCUGUUCUUGUUCUGAAACAUUUAAGUUACCAAGUGUUCUCCUGAGAGUUGUAACUUGCAGUGAACUAAAUUGUGUUGUGUUGUAAAAGGCGCUUUGCCAGAUUACUUCCAUUUUUUUCUUAAAGGUCUUGGCCCAUGUCAGGGGUGUUGUCAACUCUUGUAACUAUGUUAAUCACUCUCCAAAGCAAUGCCACAAUCGUUACAUUAAAACCAUUACAGGUCCAGAGGGAAAGGUGAGUUUAUGUCACUUGCUUUGCAUUGUGAGGACUUGGGGGCUUCUGGGGUCUUUUUUUUUUUUUUUUUUUUUUUCCUUUCUUUCAAUUCCUCAUUGCUGUUAGAGUACUUCAUGAGUGUUUACUAAGCAGAAACAUAACUAGGUGUUAGAUUUUGAAUAGCUUGAUAUACAAGCAAACGUUAGUAAAUACCUUCUCCUAACAGUAUGACUAAUAUAGGUUGUAUUUAUGACAUUUCCAUACACUUAGGAAUAUGAAUUUCCCCAAUGUUAUGACAAUAUGACCUUGGAUUUAUAAUUUUGCACUACCAGUAUAUUAAAAAUAAGGGAGGGGAGCUGUUUAUUUUAAGUGGUAGGAUAUGAAUUGUCUUCAGUCAAGACGAUUGGUAACUAUGAAUUCUGAGACAGGGCACAUUUGAUUAUGUCUUUUUGGUACCUAAGCCUUCACUUUGUAUUUAUCCCAGAAUGUAGGUGGUCAUCCUCUUUGUGUUAGACAAGCAUGUGCUAAAGUCCAGCAUUCUCUGUGUUCAAAUCUAUGUAAAUUACUUUGAGCUGAAGACAAUGACUACCAGAAAAGGAAGUUCCUCAGUUAGAUUUCUGUAAGUUUACUUCUACUGUCACUAAUUUUUCUCAGAUUUUACAGUAAAUCACUGGUGGCCUGAUUGGUGACUUUGUUUUCUCUUAAGCAUGAAUGUAUUUCACGGGGACCUUUUUCUUAUCAAAGGCUCUGUGAUGACCUUUAGCCUUAAGGUAAAGCAGUGUUUAUUGUCCAAGAAUCAAAUCUGUGCUCGGGCUGAUGUAAAGAAAAGCCUGAUGUGCUUCAGUAUCGGUUCGAUGUACCAGAAGUCCUUCCUCAUGUCCCGGUGGAACCUCCUGAGCAUCAGUGUGUGCCCGUUGUGUCUUGUGCUGUUACCCGGUCCGUGCUGCGCCUCCCUGCAGACACUGACACACAGGGAUGGGGACCGCUCUCAGCCGCCUCUUCUGAGGCUGAACAGCGCGGGCUCCUCAGCCUUUCCCCGUCAGGGCGAUGCUCCAGCCCCUUCAUCACCUUUGUUUCUCUCGGCUGGCCCCGCUCCAGGCGCUCCCAGUCUCUCCCGCCCUGAGGAGCACAAGCCCCGCGAGCUGCAAGUGUGGAUUUUUACACAGUGUCUUCAGAGAAGCGACAGCCCUUCUCUCUGCGCGGACAGAAAUUACCCUUGUCUCGGUCCUUACCCUCCCCAGCCUCUGCUACAAUAAAUACCAUUAUUCUGCCCUGUCGCUGAGCCCGUUCCUAUCGCGACAGGGC